CGUCAUUUGUACACUCAAGCUUUGCUUGGUGUUGGGUGCUUGUCCUUUUUGGACUCACCUUAAAAGUAUUGGCAGCCAGUGUAUGGUCUUGAAGCGCAGCACAAAUUGCGGUUCUCACCUUUAUCACUAGCAUCCAUCAAGGCUAUAUUAGCUCGCUUGACCUCGGAUCAGGUAGGGAUACCCGCUGAACUUAAGCAUAUCAAUAAGCGGAGGAAAAGAAACCAACAGGGAUUGCCCUAGUAACGGCGAGUGAAGCGGCAACAGCUCAAAUUUGAAAUCUGGCUCUUUCAGAGUCCGAGUUGUAAUUUGCAGAGGGCGCUUUGGCAUUGGCAGCGGUCUAAGUUCUUUGGAACAGGACGUCACAGAGGGUGAGAAUCCCGUAUGUGGUCGCUAGCCUUUGCUGUGUAAAGCCCCUUCGACGAGUCGAGUUGUUUGGGAAUGCAGCUCUAAAUGGGAGGUAAAUUUCUUCUAAAGCUAAAUACUGGCCAGAGACCGAUAGCGCACAAGUAGAGUGAUCGAAAGAUGAAAAGCACUUUGGAAAGAGAGUCAAAUAGCACGUGAAAUUGUUGAAAGGGAAGCGCUUGCAGCCAGACUUGCCUGUAGUUGCUUAUCCGGACUUUUGUCCGGUGCACUCUUCUGCGGGCAGGCCAGCAUCAGUUUGGGCGGUUGGAUAAAGGUCUCUAUCACGUACCUCUCUUCGGGGAGGCCUUAUAGGGGAGACGUCAUGCAACCAGCCUGGACUGAGGUCCGCGCAUCUGCUAGGAUGCUGGCGUAAUGGCUGUAAGCGGCCCGUCUUGAAACACGGACCAAGGAGUCUAACAUCUAUGCGAGUGUUUGGGUGUCAAGCCCAUACGCGUAAUGAAAGUGAACGGAGGUGGGAACCCUUUGGGUGCACCAUCGACCGAUCCUGAUGUCUUCGGAUGGAUUUGAGUAAGAGCAUGGCUGUUGGGACCCGAAAGAUGGUGAACUAUGCUUGAAUAGGGUGAAGCCAGAGGAAACUCUGGUGGAGGCUCGCAGCGGUUCUGACGUGCAAAUCGAUCGUCAAAUUUGGGCAUAGGGGCGAAAGACUAAUCGAACUAUCUAGUAGCUGGUUCCUGCCGAAGUUUCCCUCAGGAUAGCAGUAACGUAUUCAGUUUUAUGAGGUAAAGCGAAUGAUUAGAGGCCUGGGGGUUGAAACAACCUUCACCUAUUCUCAAACUUUAAAUAUGUAAGAAGUCCUUGUUACUUGAUUGAACGUGGACACUUGAAUGUACCGUUACUAGUGGGCCAUUUUUGGUAAGCAGAACUGGCGAUGCGGGAUGAACCGAACGCGGGGUUAAGGUGCCAGAAUAUACGCUCAUCAGACACCACAAAAGGUGUUAGUUCAUCUAGACAGCAGGACGGUGGCCAUGGAAGUCGGAAUCCGCUAAGGAGUGUGUAACAACUCACCUGCCGAAUGAACUAGCCCUGAAAAUGGAUGGCGCUCAAGCGUAUUACCCAUACCCCGCCGCCAGGGCAGAAUUUAUGCC
rnacentral:rRNA from 1 species